rnacentral:rRNA from 1 species
UGGGGAAUAUUGGACAAUGGGCGAAAGCCUGAUCCAGCCAUGCCGCGUGUGUGAAGAAGGUCUUCGGAUUGUAAAGCACUUUAAGUUGGGAGGAAGGGCAUUAACCUAAUACGUUAUUUUUUUGACGUUACCGACAGAAUAAGCACCGGCUAACUCUGUGCCAGCAGCCGCGGUAAUACAGAGGGUGCAAGCGUUAACCGGAAUUACUGGGCGUAAAGCGCGCGUAGGUGGUUUGUUAAGUUGGAUGUGAAAUCCCCGGGCUCAACCUGGGAACUGCAUUCAAAACUGACUGACUAGAGUAUGGUAGAGGGUGGUGGAAUUUCCUGUGUAGCGGUGAAAUGCGUAGAUAUAGGAAGGAACACCAGUGGCGAAGGCGACCACCUGGACUAAUACUGACACUGAGGUGCGAAAGCGUGGGGAGCAAACA